GUCGUAUCGGUUAGAUUGGGAUACUCAUCAAAUAAACCUGAAAACCGGGAAUACUUCUCUUGCCAAUGGCGGGCCACACCCCAAAAGGGCAGCAGCAAUGCCGGUGGAUUACAAAGGCGGAGAGCUCCCAAAUCUUAUUUUAAUAGGAGUUUUCAUCACAUCAUCGAUACGACCUUA
rnacentral:sRNA from 1 species